rnacentral:rRNA from 1 species
AGAGUUUGAUCAUGGCUCAGAUUGAACGCUGGCGGCAGGCUUAACACAUGCAAGUCGAACGGUAACAGGAAGAAAGCUUGCUUUCUUUGCUGACGAGUGGCGGACGGGUGAGUAAUGCUUGGGAAUCUGGCUUAUGGAGGGGGAUAACUACGGGAAACUGUAGCUAAUACCGCGUAGUAUCGGAAGAUGAAAGUGUGGGACCGCAAGGCCACAUGCCAUGAGAUGAGCCCAAGUGGGAUUAGGUAGUUGGUUAGGUAAAGGCUGACCAAGCCGACGAUCUCUAGCUGGUCUGAGAGGAUGACCAGCCACACUGGAACUGAGACACGGUCCAGACUCCUACGGGAGGCAGCAGUGGGGAAUAUUGCACAAUGGGGGGAACCCUGAUGCAGCCAUGCCGCGUGAAUGAAGAAGGCCUUCGGGUUGUAAAGUUCUUUCGGUGAUGAGGAAGGUGUUUGUUUUAAUAGAACAAACAAUUGACGUUAGUCACAGAAGAAGCACCGGCUAACUCCGUGCCAGCAGCCGCGGUAAUACGGAGGGUGCGAGCGUUAAUCGGAAUAACUGGGCGUAAAGGGCACGCAGGCGGUGACUUAAGUGAGAUGUGAAAGCCCCGAGCUUAACUUGGGAAUUGCAUUUCAUACUGGGUCGCUAGAGUACUUUAGGGAGGGGUAGAAUUCCACGUGUAGCGGUGAAAUGCGUAGAGAUGUGGAGGAAUACCGAAGGCGAAGGCAGCCCCUUGGGAAUGUACUGACGCUCAUGUGCGAAAGCGUGGGGAGCAAACAGGAUUAGAUACCCUGGUAGUCCACGCUGUAAACGCUGUUGAUUUGGGGAUUGGGCUUUGAGCUUGGUGCCCGUAGCU